rnacentral:rRNA from 1 species
AAUCCAUAGGUUAAUGAGGCGAACCGGGGGAACUGAAACAUCUAAGUACCCCGAGGAAAAGAAAUCAACCGAGAUUCCCCCAGUAGCGGCGAGCGAACGGGGAGGAGCCCAGAGCCUGAAUCAGCAUGUGUGUUAGUGGAAGCGUCUGGAAAGGCGCGCGAUACAGGGUGACAGCCCCGUACACAAAAGCGCAUGUGCUGUGAGCUCGAUGAGUAGGGCGGGACACGUGGUAUCCUGUCUGAAUAUGGGGGGACCAUCCUCCAAGGCUAAAUACUCCUGACUGACCGAUAGUGAACCAGUACCGUGAGGGAAAGGCGAAAAGAACCCCGGCGAGGGGAGUGAAAAAGAACCUGAAACCGUGUACGUACAAGCAGUGGGAGCACAGGUUUACCUGUGUGACUGCGUACCUUUUGUAUAAUGGGUCAGCGACUUAUAUUCUGUAGCAAGGUUAACCGAAUAGGGGAGCCGGAGGGAAACCGAGUCUUAACCGGGCGUUAAGUUGCAGGGUAUAGACCCGAAACCCGGUGAUCUAGCCAUGGGCAGGUUGAAGGUUGGGUAACACUAACUGGAGGACCGAACCGACUAAUGUUGAAAAAUUAGCGGAUGACCUGUGGCUGGGGGUGAAAGGCCAAUCAAACCGGGAGAUAGCUGGUUCUCCCCGAAAGCUAUUUAGGUAGCGCCUCGUGAAUUCAUCUCCGGGGGUAGAGCACUGUUUCGGCUAGGGGGCCAUCCCGGCUUACCAACCCGAUGCAAACUGCGAAUACCGGAGAAUGUUAUCACGGGAGACACACGGCGGGUGCUAACGUCCGUCGUGAAGAGGGAAACAACCCAGACCGCCAGCUAAGGUCC